rfam:Candidatus Riesia pediculischaeffi PTST contig_119, whole genome shotgun sequence.
GGUGGGAUGCCUGAGUGGUUAAAAGGAGCAGACUGUAAAUCUGACGUCGAUAGACUUCGAAGGUUCGAAUCCUUCUCCCACCA